GAAGACUACUAGGGGGGCCCGAUUAUGGCGGGCUGAGAGGUUAGCACAUGAGCUACCGACUCUUAUGAACCUGAUCUGGUUAAUACCAGCGGAGGGAAGUAGUGGACGUACAAG
rfam:Oceanobacillus picturae, S1, WGS project CCAX01000000 data, contig: 000002